GUCGAGCGGGGAAGUAUAGCUUGCUAUACGACCUAGCGGCGGACGGGUGAGUAAUGCUUAGGAAUCUGCCUAUUAGUGGGGGACAACAUUCCGAAAGGAAUGCUAAUACCGCAUACGCCCUACGGGGGAAAGCAGGGGAUCUUCGGACCUUGCGCUAAUAGAUGAGCCUAAGUCAGAUUAGCUAGUUGGUGGGGUAAAGGCCUACCAAGGCGACGAUCUGUAGCGGGUCUGAGAGGAUGAUCCGCCACACUGGGACUGAGACACGGCCCAGACUCCUACGGGAGGCAGCAGUGGGGAAUAUUGGACAAUGGGCGAAAGCCUGAUCCAGCCAUGCCGCGUGUGUGAAGAAGGCCUUUUGGUUGUAAAGCACUUUAAGCGAGGAGGAGGCUACCGAGAUUAAUACUCUUGGAUAGUGGACGUUACUCGCAGAAUAAGCACCGGCUAACUCUGUGCCAGCAGCCGCGGUAAUACAGAGGGUGCGAGCGUUAAUCGGAUUUACUGGGCGUAAAGCGUGCGUAGGCGGCUUUUUAAGUCGGAUGUGAAAUCCCUGAGCUUAACUUAGGAAUUGCAUUCGAUACUGGGAAGCUAGAGUAUGGGAGAGGAUGGUAGAAUUCCAGGUGUAGCGGUGAAAUGCGUAGAGAUCUGGAGGAAUACCGAUGGCGAAGGCAGCCAUCUGGCCUAAUACUGACGCUGAGGUACGAAAGCAUGGGGAGCAAACAGGAUUAGAUACCCUGGUAGUCCAUGCCGUAAACGAUGUCUACUAGCCGUUGGGGCCUUUGAGGCUUUAGUGGCGCAGCUAACGCGAUAAGUAGACCGCCUGGGGAGUAC
rnacentral:rRNA from 1 species